rnacentral:rRNA from 1 species
UUUUUACAGCGAAACUGCGAAUGGCUCAUUAAAUCAGUUAUGAUCUACAUGACAAAUACUUUACUACUGGAUAACCGUGGUAAUUCUAGAGCUAAUACAUGCAGAAAAGGCCUGACUUCGGAAGGGCUGCACUUAUUAGAUCAAAACCUUCCUGGGUAAAACCAGUUCUUUGGUGAUUCAUAAUAAUUUAGCUGAUCGCAUGGCCUUGCGCCGGCGACGGUACAUUCGAUUUUCUGCCCUAUCAGGCUGUUGAUUGUAAGAUAGAGGCUUACAAUGGCUACCACGGGUAACGGGGAAUUAGGGUUCGAUUCCGGAGAGGGAGCCUGAGAAACGGCUACCACAUCCAAGGAAGGCAGCAGGCGCGCAAAUUACCCAAUCCCAAUUCGGGGAGGUAGUGACAAUAAAUAACAAUGCUGGGCCUUUUGGCCUAGCAAUUGGAAUGAGUACAAUUUAAAUCCCUUAACGAGGAUCAAUUGGAGGGCAAGUCUGGUGCCAGCAGCCGCGGUAAUUCCAGCUCCAAAAGCGUAUAUUAAAGUUGUUGCAGUUAAAACGUCCGUAGUCGAAUUUACACCUUUUGUGUUUGCCGCCGGUCCUUCAUUGGGCUGGAUGGGUAGACGCUGGGUGAUAAAGUCUGGUUAAUAGAGUGGUUGGCUUCGGNUGGCUGCUUUUCCUUACCAGGCGUAUUACCAUGAGCAAAUCAGAAUGCUCAAAGUAGGCCUACGCGCCUGAAUGUGUUAGCAUGGAAUAAUAAAAUAGGACUCGAGUCUUGUUUUGUUGGUUUACUUGACAUUGAGAAAUGAUGAAUAGGAACGGUUGGGGGCAUUUGUAUUUGGCCGCUAGAGGUGAAAUUCUUGGAUUGGCCGAAGACAAACUACUGCGAAAGCAUUUGACCCAGGACGUUUUCAUUGAUCAGGGACUAAAGUUGAGGGAUCGAAGACGAUUAGAUACCGUCGUAGUCUUAACCACAAACUAUGCCGACUAGCGAUUGGGCCUUGACCUUUGGUCAGGUUCAGCAGCUUAGCGAAAGUAAAGUC